CCUACGGGAGGCAGCAGUGAGGAAUAUUGGUCAAUGGGCUUGCGCCUGAACCAGCCAAGUCGCGUGAGGGAAGACUGCCCUAUGGGUUGUAAACCUCUUUUGUCAGGGAGCAAUUGGCGCUACGUGUAGCGUUAUCUAUGGUCCCUGAAGAAAAGGCAUCGGCUAACUCCGUGCCAGCGGCCGCGGUAAUACGGGGGAUGCGAGCGUUAUCCGGAUUUGUGGGGUUUAAGGGUUGCGUAGGCGGAAUGCCAAGUCAGCGGUAAAGUCGAGGGGCUCAACCUCGCUCCGCCGUUGAAACUGGCGGUCUUGAGUGGGAGAGAAGUAUGCGGAAUGCGUGGUGUAGCGGUGAAAUGCAUAGAUAUCACGCAGAACUCCGAUUGCGAAGGCAGCAUACCGGCGCCCAACUGACGCUGAAGCACGAAAGCGUGGGUAUCGAACAGGAUUAGAUACCCCAGUAGUC
rnacentral:rRNA from 1 species